rnacentral:rRNA from 1 species
CAGCAGUCGCCGCGGGAAUACGAAGGGUGCAAGCGUUAAUCGGAAUUACUGGGCGUAAAGCGUGCGUAGGCGGUGAGUUAAGUCUGCUGUGAAAUCCCCGGGCUCAACCUGGGAAUGGCAGUGGAUACUGGCUCGCUAGAGUAUGUCAGAGGAUGGUGGAAUUCCCGGUGUAGCGGUGAAAUGCGUAGAGAUCAGGAGGAACAUCAGUGGCGAAGGCGGCCAUCUGGGACAACACUGACGCUGAGGCACGAAAGCGUGGGGAGCAAACAGGAUUAGAUACCCGGGUAGUCCCUGUCUCUUAUAA